UACGGAGGGUGCAAGCGUUAAUCGGAAUUACUGGGCGUAAAGCGCACGUAGGUUGUUGUAUAAGCGUGAUGUGAAAUCCCCGGGCUUAACCUGGGCACUGCAUUAUGAACUGUAUAACUAGAGUUACGAAGAGGGGGGUAGAAUUUCCAGUGUAGCGGUGAAAUGCGUAGAGAUUGGAAAGAAUACCAAUGGCGAAGGCAGCCCCCUGGUUGAUAACUGACACUGAGGUGCGAAAGCGUGGGUAGCGAACAGG
rnacentral:rRNA from 1 species